UACAGAGGUCUCAAGCGUUGUUCGGAUUCAUUGGGCGUAAAGGGUGUGUAGGCGGCGCGGUAAGUCGGGCGUGAAAUCUCGGAGCUUAACUCCGAAACUGCAUUCGAUACUGCCGUGCUUGAGGACUGGAGAGGAGACUGGAAUUUACGGUGUAGCGGUGAAAUGCGUAGAUAUCAGGAAGAACACCCGUGGCGAAGGCGGCUCUCUGGGACGUGACUGACGCUGAGACGCGAAAGCGUGGGGAGCAAACAGG
rnacentral:rRNA from 1 species